rnacentral:sRNA from 12 species
GUGCCUUGAUCUGCCUUGACUGGGUCGGUUAACAGCUGGGCAGGGAGUACGACGGUGGGUUUAUGCGUCACCACAAGCCGACUAAAUUCCGGUUCACCGGAUUGAAAGAAAACGCUUAGA